UAUUUUUUAUUAACAAUUCGUUUGGCUAAAAUAAGUAGCAAUGGCUCCCACAGAUCUAGUCUGGGACAUGAGAAGGGAGGGUAAGAGCAUAUGAGGCAGCUCACCAAGUUGGGGUGAAGAACUAUCCCUAAAGGAAAAAAUACUUAAACUGAGAAAUUAACAAGGAGGGCUGGUAUCAAACCUUUAGGUACCACUUGUUUCUGGGAUUCUUCUCUGACCCUCUCUAGACUAUGCGAUAUGCUCUCAUUGCACUCUGCCAUGUGGUCUUUACUGCUAUUGCUUAAUUAAGUUGCUUGUGAGGCAGGGGCUUUAUCUCGCUCACAACUAUAUCCCCAGGACCUAGCAUACAAACAGGCAUUUUAAGCCCCUGUUCUGAGUGGAAGUGGUAAGAACAGGAUAUGGCAUCAUCAGUUCAUUGGCUCUGGAUAUAAAAUCACUGCUCCAAGUAUCCCUCCCACCAUCCUCAUGUUAAGAGCAAGACUAUUCACAGAAGCCAUAGGAAAAUAAAAUUUCUCCAGAAAGGGAGCGAGAUUUGCCAAUAGCAACAGUACUUAUCCUCAGCACAAGGGGGCGCCUGCUGCUUACUCCAUCACCAGGAAGCCUAGAGGAAGGGAGGGGCCACAAACGCCACACCAGUCUGCUCAUCAAAAUUCAGUUCAAAGGCUAGCUUCUGAAAACCCCAGAGAGCGGAGGUAGUCUGUGAAUCUACCCAACAUUUCCAACACCUGACUCGUUUUAUAGAGGCCUCACCCCAGCCAAGAUGUGCUGUUUCUGAGCCAGGAUUACAACCCAGGUCUCUCAACUCCUAGCCUAGUAGUUGUCCAACGACAGAGCAUGCUCUUGCUGGGUAUGCUUAGGGCAGGGUGUCGCCUAUCUGAGAAUACAGAGAAGCCUGCUGAUUUCGAGUCUGGAUCCUCUGGAACUCCAGGGCUCCCACGCUGGCGCCGGGUCCCCAGCGCCCGCCACUCUCAACCUCCAAAGCAGGGCCCGAACCUCAGCUCCUCCAUCCGGGACUCCGAGCGGCCUGCGCCUGUGCACUGACUCCGCCGACGGCGGCCCCGCCCCUCUCCUGCCCGGACUUGGAGCCGCCCCGCCCCCUCUGCGGCGGCCAUGUUGACUCCGAGUGGGGCGGGUACGACGGAGCCCCAUGACUCCGGGCCCUCAACCUUGGCGCCUCUACGCUUUGGUGACACCUUAAGAGUUCCCUCUUGUACUGCACGCUCUUCAAGGCCCCCUCCCCCACCAUCAGUUAGUCCUCCGGGGCUACUGUCUCAGAGUCGUGUUCUUGCCCCAGUUCCACCCCACAAACAUCCACUGAGUUUCCAUGUGUGCGGAGGCUCUCGGAGUUGAGGGGCUGGCCAGUGGUUUCUUCACCGAAGCAAGAGCCGCAUUUUCCCUGCUGUCAGGCAACAACAGCUCAGCACAGGGCCUGGCACACAAUAGAUGUUCUCCGAAUAGAAAGAAAAGACUUCUUGGGGUUUCUGUGGCCAGCAGCGGCACCCUGCGUCCUGGGUGUGAAGAAAGCAGGGGAUCCCCCUGACUUUCCCCUCCAGCUACCAGGGACCUUCUGUCCUACUUCAGUUCUCAGCCCCACCUCAGGUGGCUAAUGAGGAUGGUGAAGGAAACUUCAGAGAACACCCUCGCCAGGAGUCCUUUCUCCUUCCUCAUUCAAGCAGUUUUUCUCUUAGGAAGUGGGGCCAAAAAAGAAGAAGAAAAGGAGCUAACUCAACAAAACCGUCUGUUAGGGAGGAGCAGCCAGUUGGUACCCCUGUAACGGAAACUGUUAGAACAACUUUGCACCCUCCUUAAAGGAAAUAGAUAAUAAAUCCUU